rnacentral:rRNA from 1 species
UUCCUGGGAAGUCCUCGUGUUGCACCCC